UACGAAGGGGGCUAGCGUUGCUCGGAAUCACUGGGCGUAAAGGGCGCGUAGGCGGGUCUUUAAGUCGGGGGUGAAAGCCUGUGGCUCAACCACAGAAUGGCCUUCGAUACUGGGGACCUUGAGACCGGAAGAGGUUGGUGGAACUGCGAGUGUAGAGGUGAAAUUCGUAGAUAUUCGCAAGAACACCGGUGGCGAAGGCGGCCAACUGGUCCGGUUCUGACGCUGAGGCGCGAAAGCGUGGGGAGCAAAC
rnacentral:rRNA from 1 species